rnacentral:lncRNA from 10 species
CACUUUGUUACUGGCUUUCGUGUCCUGAAGUGAAACUGACCAGAAACAUUAAACUCUCUGUAUGAAUCAUAUGGAGUGAAAAUUGCUACUCAGUGAAGCAAACAGAUAGUCCAAAGUGUUACAAAGUGAGAAGAUGCUUAUCAAGAAAAAUGAAAGGGUUGAUGAUAUGCCAGAAGUAUUUCAUAGACCCAUUUUCAACUUCCUAUUGAAAAUUGUUACUGAAAAAGAAGACAAGAGAAGACUACACGUUAUGAACUAAGAGUUGGCACAGGGAAAGAGGAAAAAUAAAAGCAUGAUAAAAGCAAACAAAAUAUGGUCCAAAUAUCAAGAGAGGAAACAUAGAA